CACGUAGGGGGCAAGCGUUGUCCGGAUUUAUUGGGCGUAAAGAGCUCGUAGGCGGUUCGGUAAGUCGGGUGUGAAACCUCCAGGCUCAACCUGGAGAUGCCACCUGAUACUGCUGUGACUCGAGUCCGGUAGGGGAGCGUGGAAUUCCUGGUGUAGCGGUGAAAUGCGCAGAUAUCAGGAGGAACACCAGCGGCGAAGGCGGCGCUCUGGGCCGGAACUGACGCUGAGGAGCGAAAGCGUGGGUAGCAAACAGA
rnacentral:rRNA from 1 species